AUGGAUCGUGAAGGCUCGAGUAAAAGCGCCGAAGAGGAGAAACCAAAGGAGCCGGUGGUAGUGGAAAAAGCCAGCGGGGAGCCGAAAAAAGCGGAAGAUCCGACGACGAAAAAGCGACCAAGGAAGAAUGAAGAUCUUUUGAAGGAUGCUCCCGAGACAUCAGACGACGAGGAUCAGCGUGCCGAGACCGCUGGCUCCAGAAAUUACCCGGCAAAUCUGUGGAAUCGUCUCAAAAAUCCGCCAGCAAAUCGUCCGACUAUCGACGUGUGGGAAUUCAAAUUGGACGGCGAAGUGCUGACAAUGACGUUCACGUGUGACGGCGAGAAGUAUCCAAUGUAUUUUACGCCGAGAAGCGUGAUUGAUUUCCAAAUGCGCAACAACUAUUGGAUUCCACGUCAUAAUAACACGUUCAAAUCACUCAGAACUCGUCUCUACUCGCUUCCGAAGACUGUCAGCAUCAAUAAACUCGUUUUUUCGAACACUCCGGAAUGUGAAGCCGAGGAUUGUCUGAUUGAGCUCAUGUUCAUCAAAAAAUGGACGUGUAAGCAGCUCGACUAUAACAUUUGCACAGAAUUCAAUCAACCACAGCACUUGCGUCGUCUCGUUCACAUGUUCAAGCCGACAGAUAUAACAGUUUCGUUGCAUUUCGGACCAUAUAUUCCCUCGGCGACUGCCCAUGAGCCCAACUCAAUGCACAAUCACUUGGCUGCGCUCUCUGAUACGACGCUGGCAAUGGAAAAGGAUUUCCGGCUGGAUUGUGCUCACGCGUUGAGCUUGCCUCCAGAUUCGUCGAAAAAGGAGCUCGGAAUGCUGUACGGAGAAGCUGGAAAAGGACGAGCAUUCGGAAUUCAAAUGCUCCGGACUCUCACCGCGAUCCGUAAAUUCGUUGGAAUGAUGGCCGAGAAGCGAAUGGCGCAGACGAAGGGUGUCGCGAUUCGCAAAUUUGUCGUCAACGGCCCGGGCAUUCAUGACAAGCCAUGUGCAAAACUGCAACAACUGCUCAAGGAGGAUGGUCUCGACGAGGCUAACAAGAUGCGCGGCGCCUAUGCUACUGGAGAAAGGGUUUUUUCCUGAAUUUUGAUCUCAAAAUUUGAAAAUUCGUCGAAUUUUGACCAAAAAAUUUGAAAAUUCCUGAAUUUUGGCCUAAAAAUCAGAAAAUUCCUUAAUUUUGGCCUAAAAAUCAGAAAAUUCCUUAAUUUUGGCCUAAAAAUCUGAACACUCCCCGAAUUUCGACCUAAAAAGCUCAAAAGUCCCAAAAAUUUCGACCUCAAUAUCUGAAAAUUCCUUAAUUAUGUGAAAAAAAAAGAUAAAAAUCUAAUUUUUCCCCCCGAUUUGUAGGUGUACGUUUGCGUGCGGAACGAUCUCCGUCGAGCCUUCAAGUACUCUUUGGCAAUGCCAGCCACCGCAUUCAAAAUGUCAAUCGGAAAUGAGCAAUUAUUGCUCUUCACUAAGUCUGUGCCGGUUUUUCAUUGCUUUUUCCGCACAAAUGUCGACGAACAAGGCGUCGUGCAGCUCAUUACGGAAUGGCAAAAAGGCGAGCGUAACAUUGAAGAAAUCCAACUGCACCUGGAUCGAGUGAUUGAGCCCAAUUUCGUAGAUCAUUUGAACGCGGAUCACGCGGAUCCAAAGCGCGUCAAAGUUCGACGAGUUGUAAACGGCCGCAAAACCACGCUGUACAUUGAACGAGAUCGUCUGGGAUCCCGCCAUCUCGCCUUGAGAACACUGGACACUAAAUAA
rnacentral:misc_RNA from 1 species